UCACCUUUACCAACACCAAGGGAGCCAGCCCUGAGAGUUCAUGCCAAGUCAUCUUUCUCCUGCUUUGUUCCCUGGAACUGAUAAACUGCUGCUUCGAAAAACCAGAAGGCCUUGCCUCUAUUUUGUUUUCAGUUCUACUCCCUAAGAGCCUCAGCAUAAAUAUGAGAGGAGAUAAAGGGAAAGUUAAGAAACUUCUGUUAGCAUUCUGAUGUUCAAACCCAAGUCUUGAUCUUCCUGUUGAGGGCCAUCCAAGAGCACCAUGAUGAAGUGGAAAGAGAUUGUUCACAAGAAUGAUCACUUACAGAAGACUGAGCCCAAGGCCCUUGCUGAUGGAUUCCCAGACUUAUAUGCAUCCGAGAUUGAAGAACUUAAACAUCUUGCCCUUGCCAUGACCACAAAUCAGAGAGUAAUAAAAUUUAAUGUCCAUGGACUUUGACCUUCAAAAGACCAAAGACAGGCUGUUUCAAGAACGCGGUCUUGAACAAUUUGUUGACAUCUUCACAAAAGAAAAAUAAUUCUCUAAAUCAGUAACUGAGUCUCCGGAAGGUUUCUUCUUGGAAACCCCCACAUAGUCUCAUGAGCACCUACAAUGACAGAAAGGGAAAUUUAGAGAAUGAAGAGAAAACUUCUAAGAUGUUCGUAGAAUGCUUCAGGGAAGAGGUUUGAUAAUGAGCUGUUCAUGAAAGAUUGAACUCAUGAAACUGGGGAUAAGGAAGACAGUCUCGGAGGGGAAAAUGGCACAAGCAAACGUGUGGAGGAAAUGCAAGUGUGAAGAAUGGGCAUCACCAAUUCUUACAUGAGUGAUCACCUCAGGGUGUGUCAACUUACCUUGGGCUUCUGCAAAACAGUCAAGAAAACUGCUUUUUAUUAUUUUCUGUUUUCUGAAUCAGCAACUCUGUCACAAGCUAGAAGUCCCUGUAUUAUUCUUCAUUCUAUUACUUUUCAUGUAAGACUUGAAAACUCUUGGGAGCCUUGGUCUACUAAUUCAUAUGUCAUGUUUGAGUUACAUUUUAGAAAUAGCAAAUACACUUGAGGCAAACAGGCCCUAGUUUUGUUUUGUUUGUCUUCUCCUCACUGAAAUUAAAUUAAAAUCUAUACCUUUCCUCUGAUGUUAGUAACCUCUUUGUUUUGUUUCUUUAAUAAAGAGAAAAACAC
rnacentral:lncRNA from 1 species